UACAGAGGUCCCGAGCGUUGUUCGGAUUCAUUGGGCGUAAAGGGUGCGUAGGCGGCGGGGCAAGUCUGAUGUGAAAUCCUGGGGCUCAACCCUGGAACUGCAUUGGAUACUGCCUUGCUAGAGUACUGGAGAGGAAACUGGAAUUUACGGUGUAGCAGUGAAAUGCGUAGAGAUCGUAAGGAAGACCAGUGGCGAAGGCGGUUCUCUGGGCCUUACCUGACGCUGAGGAGCGAAAGCGUGGGGAGCGAACAGG
rnacentral:rRNA from 1 species